UGGGGAAUAUUGCACAAUGGGCGGAAGCCUGAUGCAGCGACGCCGCGUGGGGGAUGACGGCCUUCGGGUUGUAAACUCCUUUCACCAUCGACGAAGGUUUUCUGACGGUAGAUGGAGAAGAAGCACCGGCUAACUACGUGCCAGCAGCCGCGGUAAUACGUAGGGUGCGAGCGUUGUCCGGAAUUACUGGGCGUAAAGAGCUCGUAGGUGGUUUGUCGCGUCGUCUGUGAAAUUCCGGGGCUUAACUCCGGGCGUGCAGGCGAUACGGGCAUAACUUGAGUACUGUAGGGGAGACUGGAAUUCCUGGUGUAGCGGUGAAAUGCGCAGAUAUCAGGAGGAACACCGGUGGCGAAGGCGGGUCUCUGGGCAGUAACUGACGCUGAGGAGCGAAAGCAUGGGUAGCGAACAGG
rnacentral:rRNA from 1 species